AGGGCGUACGGCGGAUGCCUUGGCCAUAUCAGCCGAAGAAGGACGCGAUAAGCUGCGAUAAGCUGCGGUGAGGUGCAAGUAACCUUUGACCCGCAGGUCUCCGAAUGGGGAAACCCGGCAGCAGUAGUGCUGUCAUCCUCUAUGAGGAAGGGCACCCGGUGAACUGAAACAUCUAAGUAGCCGGAGGAAAAGGAAUCAACAGAGAUACCCCUAGUAGCGGCGAGCGAACGGGGCAGAGCCCAAACCGGAAUGGGAAACCAAUCCGGGGUUGUGGACUGCUAUCAAAUGCAUGAGUGAAGCAGAAUGAGCUGGGAAGCUCAGCCAGAGAGAGUGAGAGCCUCGUAGGCGUAAGCAAAUGCAUGGAGCAGGAUCCAGAGUACCACGGGACACGAGAAACCCUGUGGGAAGCUGGGGGGACCACCCUCCAAGGCGAAACACUGAUAUGGACCGAUAGCGCAUAGUACCGUGAGGGAAAGGUGAAAAGAACCCCGGGAGGGGAAUGAAAGAGAACCUGAAACCGUAUGUCUACAAGCAGUCGAAGACCUUUAUAUGGUCGACGGCGUGCCUAUUGAAGAAUGAACCGGCGAGUUACUUCAGCUAGCGAGGUUAAGCGGAAAACGUGGAGCCGAAGCGAAAGCGAGUCUGAACAGGGCGUAUAGUUAGUUGGAGUAGACCCGAAACCACAGUGAUCUACCCAUGUCCAGGUUGAAGCACAGGUAAAAAUGUGUGGAGGACCGAACCAGUGAGCGUUGAAAAGCUUUUGGAUGAGAUGUGGGUAGGGGUGAAAUGCCAAUCGAACGUGGAGAUAGCUGGUUCUCCCCGAAAUAGCUUUAGGGCUAGCCUCAUGGCGAGAGUACAGGCGGUAGAGCACUGAACGGGGUAGGGGCCUAUCCGGCUACUGAACCUAAUCAAACUGCGAAUGGCUGUACUUAUCCAUGGGAGUCAGACUGUGAGUAAUAAGGCCCAUAGUCAAGAGGGAAACAGCCCAGACCAACAGCUAAGGUCCCCAAUGCCGUACUAAGUGGCGAAGGAUGUGGAAUUUCGAAAACAACCAGGAUGUUGGCUCAGAAGCAGCCACCAUUAAAAGAGUGCGUAAUAGCUCACUGGUCGAGAGACUCUGCGCCGAAGAUGUCCGGGGCUAAAGUACGGAACCGAAGCUUUGGCAAUUGACUUUGUCAAUUGGGUAGGGGAGCGUUCCUGCAUGGGAGAAGCCUGACCGGAAGGACAGGUGGACAGGCAGGAAGAGAGAAUGCCGGUAUGAGUAGCGAAAAGAAGGGUGAGAAUCCCUUCCACCGAAAGCCUAAGGGUUCCUGGGCAACGAUCGUCGUCCCAGGGUAAGUCGGGACCUAAUCCGAGGCGGAGACGCGUAGGAGAUGGACAACAGGUUGAAAUUCCUGUACUGGCUGAGGCCGUUUGAGCGAAGGAGUGACACAGGAAGGAAGGCGCGCGUGCGAUUGGAAGAGCACGUCCAAGCAGGUAGGUUGGGAGACAGGCAAAUCCGUUUCCCAUGAGGCCGAGAUGCGAUGGGGAGCUUCUGGAGACAGAAGCGAAGGGGCUGGCACUAAACUGUCGAGAAAAGCUUCUAGUGAGGACUCAGGCACCCGUACCGAAACCGACACAGGUAGGCAGGAUGAGAAUUCUAAGGUGCGCGGGAAAACCCUCGUUAAGGAACUCGGCAAAAUAUAUCCGUAACUUCGGGAAAAGGAUAACCCAGCGUACGUGAAGUGCAGAAACGCAUGGAGCGGAGAUGGGUGGCAGAAGAGAGGCCCAAGCGACUGUUUACCACAAACACAGGCGUCUGCUAAAGCGAAAGCUGAUGUAUAGAUGCUGACACCUGCCCGGUGCUGGAAGGUUAAGAGGAAGUGUUAGCGCAAGCGAAGCAGUGAAUUGAAGCCCCAGUAAACGGCGGCCGUAACUAUAACGGUCCUAAGGUAGCGAAAUUCCUUGUCGGGUAAGUUCCGACCCGCACGAAAGGUGUAACGAUUUGGGCACUGUCUCAACGAGGGACCCGGUGAAAUUGAAGUACCUGUGAAGAUGCAGGUUACCCGCGACUGGACAGAAAGACCCCAUGGAGCUUUACUGUAACCUGAGAUUGGAUUCCGGUAAGAGAUGUACAGGAUAGUUGGGAGGCUUAGAUACAAGUACGCCAGUAUUUGUGGAGCCAUUGGUGGGAUACCAACCUUGUUUUAUUGGAAUUCUAACGAGAAGCGUAACGAGCUUGCGGACAGUCUCAGGCGGGCAGUUUGACUGGGGCGGUCGCCUCCGAAAGAG
rnacentral:rRNA from 1 species